ensembl:misc_RNA
CCAGUAGUUUGCACAAACUGAAGCUGUCCACUUGCCCACAUAACAGGUAACAAGCAAGCAGAGGUGGUGCAGACUUUCCCACAGUUCUUUAUAAAUGUGUCAGUUUUGUGACCUCAAAGAGCAAGGGCUAAGAGUGAGAGAGAAUUAGCCAGUCAGCGUAUCCCAUUCAUUCCUCAGUGCU